GACGAACGCUGGCGGCGUGCUUAACACAUGCAAGUCGAACGGAAAGGCCCUGCUUUUGUGGGGUGCUCGAGUGGCGAACGGGUGAGUAACACGUGAGUAACCUGCCCUUGACUUUGGGAUAACUUCAGGAAACUGGGGCUAAUACCGGAUAGGAGCUCCUGCUGCAUGGUGGGGGUUGGAAAGUUUCGGCGGUUGGGGAUGGACUCGCGGCUUAUCAGCUUGUUGGUGGGGUAGUGGCUUACCAAGGCUUUGACGGGUAGCCGGCCUGGGAGGGUGACCGGCCACAUUGGGACUGAGAUACGGCACAGACUCCUACGGGAGGCAGAAGUGGGGAAUAUUGCACAAUGGGCGGAAGCCUGAUGCAGCAACGCCGCGUGCGGGAUGACGGCCUUCGGGUUGUAAACCGCUUUCGCCUGUGACGAAGCGUGAGUGACGGUAAUGGGUAAAGAAGCACCGGCUAACUACGUG
rnacentral:rRNA from 1 species